rnacentral:rRNA from 1 species
GACGAACGCUGGCGGCGUGCCUAAUACAUGCAAGUCGAACGCUGGAGACCUAUCUUUCUAGUGCGCAGGAUUGGCGCACGGGUGAGUAAUACAUAAGCAACCUACCCACGAAGACUGGGAUUAUCUCUGGAAAAGGGGACUAAUACCGGAUAGGUAAUCGGAAGCCAUCUUCUGGUUAUUAAAGGUUAAAAACACUGUCUGAUGGUCUUAUGGCGCAUUAUUUAGUUGGUGAUGUAACGGCCCACCGAGACGGUGAUGCGUAGCCGAUAUGAGAGGGUGAACGGCCACAUCGGGACUGAGACACGGCCCAGAAUCCUAGGGGGGGGAGCAGUAGGGAAUGUUCGGGAAGGGAGGCAAACCUGACAGAGCAACGCCGGGUGAGAGAAGACGGCGUUCGGGUUGUAAAGCUCUGUUGUAAGGGAAGAACGGUAGAUAGAGAAUAUCUAAGUGACGGUACCUUACCAGAAAGCCACGGCUAACUACGUG